UACCUGAGUGUAGGUUUUUGUUUUUUUUUUUUGUACUUUCUUUUUUAUUCCACAUAGAAACUAGAGUAAUUCCUUAUCACUGAUAUUAAUUGUGUAAAUUUGUAUUGAAUAAAGUAAUUAGACAAAAAUGUUAAUAGUAUAUGUGUUUGAUUCUUCAUUGCAAUAAACAUGUUAUAUGCUUCUAAAACAUUCAGUAGAAACCCAUGUUACCAAAACUUAAUUGGUAUUUCCAUAUAAUCUUUGGGAAAAUCAAAUCAUAAUCAGCCUGGAGACUAUCAUAUUUUGAAACAGAGUAUUGUUUUCAAAGUUAUAUUAAAUCAAAAGAAGUUGAUCAUAGAACCUAAUAAUACUGUAUGAUGUUAAUAAUUUAGAAAAUAUAACAUGUGAAAGGGCAUAAGAAUUAAAUAGUUAAUACAAAAUAAACAAANAAAUUUUCCUGUGUUUUGG
rnacentral:lncRNA from 1 species